rnacentral:rRNA from 1 species
UCGGUGCUUGCACCGAGAUUCAACAUGGAACGAGUGGCGGACGGGUGAGUAACACGUGGGUAACCUGCCCUUAAGUGGGGGAUAACAUUUGGAAACAGAUGCUAAUACCGCAUAGAUCCAAGAACCGCAUGGUUCUUGGCUGAAAGAUGGCGUAAGCUAUCGCUUUUGGAUGGACCCGCGGCGUAUUAGCUAGUUGGUGAGGUAAUGGCUCACCAAGGCGAUGAUACGUAGCCGAACUGAGAGGUUGAUCGGCCACAUUGGGACUGAGACACGGCCCAAACUCCUACGGGAGGCAGCAGUAGGGAAUCUUCCACAAUGGACGCAAGUCUGAUGGAGCAACGCCGCGUGAGUGAAGAAGGCUUUCGGGUCGUAAAACUCUGUUGUUGGAGAAGAAUGGUCGGCAGAGUAACUGUUGUCGGCGUGACGGUAUCCAACCAGAAAGCCACGGCUAACUACGUGCCAGCAGCCGCGGUAAUACGUAGGUGGCAAGCGUUAUCCGG